ACAUGCUGAGGCUAAUUGGAGUUGCUAAAUUGCCCAUAGGUGUGCAUGUGUGAGUGACUGAUGCGUGAGUGUGCCCUGCGAUGGGCUGGCCCCCCAUCCUGGGUUGUUCCCUGCCUCGUGCCCAUUGCUUCCGGGAUAGGCUCCGGACCCCUCGCGACCCAGUAGGAUAAGCGGUUUGGAAAAUGGAUGGAUGGAUGGAAAUUUCCAUGAAAACCUACAGUGGGCUGAAUUCAGAGACACCCUGAAAAUCAAAGUGAAAAAUGAUGCAGCAGGCUAGUCCAUUUUGCUGAAAUUUCAUUACAGUAACAGUAUCAUACUCAGUAGUUUGUAUGGCCCCCACGUGGUUGUAUGCAUGCCUGACAUGGUCCUAAUGAGACCACGGAUGGUGUCCUGGGGGAUCUCCUCUCAGAUCUGGACCAGGGUAUCACUGACCUUCUGGACAGUCUGAGGUGCAACCUGGUGGCAUCGAAUGGACGAAACAUAAUGUCCCAGAAGUAUUCUAUUGGAUUUAGGUCAGGCGAGUGUGGGAGGCAGUCAAUGGUAUCAAUUCCUUCAUCCUCCAGGAACUGCCUACAUGCUCUUGCCACAUGAGGCCGGGCAUUGUUGUGCACCAGGAGGAACCCAGGACCCACUGCACCAGCGUAGGGUCUGACAGUGGGUUCAAGAAUGUCAUCCUGAUACCUAAUGACAGUCAAGGUGCCGUUGUCUAGCCUGUAGAGGACUGUGCGUCCCUCCAUGGAUAUGCCUGCCCAGACCAUCACUGACCCACCACCAAACCGGUCAUGCUGAACAAUGCUGCAGGCAGCAUAACGUUCUCCAUGGCUUCUCCAGACCCUUUCACGUCUGUCACAUGUGCUCAUGGUGAACCUGCUCUCAUCUGUGAAAAGCACAGGGUGCCAGUGGCAGAUCUGCAAAUUCUGGUAUUCUAUGGCAAAUGCCAAUCGAGCUCCAUGGUGCUGGGCAGUCCUCAGGGCACCCUUAUGAUGUCUGUUUCUGAUUGUUUGGUGAGAAACAUUCACACCAGUGGCCUGCUGGAGGUCAUUUUGUAGAGCUCCAGCAGUGUUCAUCCUCUUCCUCCUUGCACAAAGGAGCAGAUACCGGUCCUGCUGAUGGGUUAAGGACCUUCUAUAGCCCUGUUCAGCUCUCCUUGAAUAACUGCCUGUCUCCUGGAAUCUCCUCCAUGCCCUUGAGAUUGUCCUGGGAGACACAGCAAACCUUCUGGCAAUGGCACGUAUUGAUGCGCCAUCCUGGAGGAGUUGGACUACCUGUGCAACCUCUGUAGGGUCCAGGUAUCGCCUCAUGCUACCAGUAGUGACACUGACCGUCGCCAAAUGCAAAACUAGUGAAAAAACUGUCAGAAAAGAUGAGGAGGGAAAAAUGCCAGUGGCCUCCACCUGUCAAACCAUUCCUGGUUUGGGGGUCGUCUCAUUGUUGCCCCUCUAGUUCACCUGUUGAUAAUUUCAUUAACACUAAAGCGGCUGAAACUGAUUAACAACCCCCUCCGCUACUUAACUGACCUGAUCAAUAUCCCAGAAGUUUAAUAGACUUGACGCUAUACUCUGAUUAAAAAGUGUUCCUUCAAUUUUUUAGCAGUAUAUAUUAAUACAUAGAUAUGAAUGUCCAUACAUACACAGACACACUUUCAUACAUAUCUGUAAUGAUUGAAACAUACAAUACAUGAAUCAAACAGUAAUAAUAAUAAUUAAUAAAAAUAACAGCAAAAAAGUAAGGGGGCGGUGGGCGUUGAGGUAGCUUUUAUUCACAAAAUAGUUUGCUGCAAACAUACAUCCAACCAUCCAUUUUCCAAACCGCUUAUCCUACUGGGUCGCUGGGGGUCCGGAGCCUAUCCCGGAAGCAAUAGGCAAAAGGUAGGGAACAACCCAGGAUGGGGGGCCAACCCAUCACAGGGCACAUUCACAUACCAGUCAGGCAAUUUAGCAACUCCAAUUAGCCUCAGCAUGUUUUUGGACUGUGGGGGAAACCGGAGUACCCGGAGAAAAUCCCACAAUGACAUGGGGAGAACACGCAAACUCCACACACGUGACCCAGGCGGAGACUUGAACCCGGGUCCCAGAGGUGUGAGGCAACAGUGCUAACCACUGCACCACCUUGCCGCCCCCGGCAAACAUACAAACAACCAGAAUUCUAGAAAAGUUCUUUACAUUUGAAUGAAAUAAAUAAAACACUUUCAAAUCAAAUGAGCCUAUAUUUUAUUCACAACGGAACAUAGAUAAUAUUACAAAUGUUCAAAGGCCGAAGACCUGUAUUGGAUGCCCGUGGUCUUCGGGCCCUCAGACGACUCUGCAUCACUCAUCGGCAUGAUUGUGUCAAUGACAUUACUAAAUGGGCCCAGGAAUACUUCCAGAGAGCACAGUCGGUAAACACAAUCCGCCGUGCCAUCUGCAGAUGGCAGCUAAAGCUCUAUCAUGCAAAAAGGAAGCCAUAUCUGAACAUGGUCCAGAAGCGCCGUCGUGUCCUGUGGGCCAAGACUCAUUUGAAAUGGACUGUUUCAAAGUGCCCACGACCCAGUAGGAUAAGCGGUUUGGAAAAUGGAUGGAUGGAUGUUUCAAAGUGGGAAAGUGUUCUGUGGUCAGACGAGUCCAAAUGUGACAUUCUUGUUGGUAAUCAAGGCUGCCGUGUCCUCCGGGCUAAAGAGGAGGGAGACCUUCCAGCGUGUUAUCAGCGUUCAGUUCAAAAGCCAGCAUCUCUGAUGGUAUGGGGGUGCAUAAGUGCAUACGGUAUGGGCAGCUUGCGUGUUUUGGAAGGAACUAUGAAUGCUGAAAGGUAUAUAAAGGUUUUAGAGCAACACAUGCUCCCCUCCAGAGGACGUCUGUUUCAGGGAAGGCCUUGUGUAUUUCAGCAGGACAAUGCAAAACCACAUACUGCAGCUAUUACAAGCACAUGGCUUCGCCGGAGAAGAGCCCGGGUGCUGAAUUGGCCUGUCUGCAGUCCAGAUCUUUCACCUAUAGAGAACAUGCAGUAAUUACCUGUAACACCCAUGGUGCACUGUGAGCAGGUAUACAGGCCCACAGAGCAUGCAGAUAAUUAUCUGUGACACCCAUGGUGCACUGUGAGCAGGUAUACAGGCCAACAGAGCAUGCAGAUAAUUAUCUGUGACACCCAUUGUACACUGUGAGCAGGUAUACAGGCCCACAGAGCAUGCAGAUAAUUAUCUGUGACACCCAUGGUGCACUGUGAGCAGGUAUACAGGCCAACAGAGCAUGCAGAUAAUUAUCUGUGACACCCAUGGGGCACUGUGAGCAGGUAUACAGGCCAACAGAGCAUGCAGAUAAUUAUCUGUGACACCCAUGGUGCACUGUGACCAGGUAUACAGGCCCACAGAGCAUGCAGAUAAUUAUCUGUGACACCCAUGGUGCACUGUGAGCAGGUAUACAGGCCAACAGAGCAUGCAGAUAAUUAUCUGUGACACCCAUUGUACACUGUGAGCAGGUAUACAGGCCCACAGAGCA